AUGAACGCUGGCGGCGUGCCUAAUCCAUGCCAGUCGAGCGCACGGACGAGAAGCUUGCUUCUCUGAUGUUAGCGGCGGACGGGUGAGUAACACGUGGAUAACCUACCUAUAAGACUGGGAUAACUUCGGGAAACCGGAGCUAAUACCGGAUAAUAUUUUGAACCGCAUGGUUCAAAAGUGAAAGACGGUCUUGCUGUCACUUAUAGAUGGAUCCGCGCUGCAUUAGCUAGUUGGUAAGGUAACGGCUUACCAAGGCAACGAUGCAUAGCCGACCUGAGAGGGUGAUCGGCCACACUGGAACUGAGACACGGUCCAGACUCCUACGGGAGGCAGCAGUAGGGAAUCUUCCGCAAUGGGCGAAAGCCUGACGGAGCAACGCCGCGUGAGUGAUGAAGGUCUUCGGAUCGUAAAACUCUGUUAUUAGGGAAGAACAUAUGUGUAAGUAACUGUGCACAUCUUGACGGUACCUAAUCAGAAAGCCACGGCUAACUACGUG
rnacentral:rRNA from 1 species